AUGGUCCGCACGAUGACCGAAGGCAUCGUGAAUAGGUUUUUGAGGUCCGCGAAGGCCGAGAUGCUUCAAAAGAACGAGACGGAGAUAAGAUGUCCGUGUCGAAGAUGCAAGCUGAAGAGCCUUAUUGCGGACCCGGAUUUCGGGCAGGUGCGGGACCACGUGCUCUUGCGUGAUUUCAUGGAUGGCUAUCGGUGUCAAGGUGAUGAAGAUGACUACGAAGUCGUCCAUGGGGGCCGGGCAAGAAAAAUGAGGAAGGGCAGCAAGACAACCACCGCGGCUCGGGCGGGCGAGAGACGAAGAAUCCCCAGGAGAUGA
rnacentral:rRNA from 1 species